GGAGAUAUAGCUCAGUGGUAGAGCUCUUGUUUAGCAUGCACAAGAGCCUUAGGUUUAAUCUCUAGUACCACCA
rnacentral:tRNA from 1 species